rnacentral:tRNA from 1 species
GCCGGGGUGGCGGAGCGGCUACGCGUGGGACUGCAGAUCCCAUUUACGUGGGUUCGAAUCCCACCCCCGGCU